AACGCGAAGAACCUUACCUGGGCUCGAAGCACAGUGGACCGGGGUAGAAAUAUCCCUUUUCGCAAGAACUGCUGUGGAGGUGCUGCAUGGCUGUCGUCAGCUCGUGUCGUGAGAUGUUGGGUUAAGUCCCGCAACGAGCGCAACCCUUGUCCUGUGUUGCCAUGCCGCAAGGCGGCACUCGCAGGAGACCGCCAGCGAUAAGCUGGAGGAAGGUGGGGAUGACGUCAAGUCCUCAUGGCCUUUAUGUCCAGGGCUACACACGUGCUACAAUGGCCGGUACAAAGCGUCGCUAACCCGCGAGGGGGAGCCAAUCGCAAAAAACCGGUCUCAGUUCGGAUUGCAGGCUGCAACUCGCCUGCAUGAAGCUGGAAUCGCUAGUAAUGGCAGAUCAGCACGCUGCCGUGAAUACGUUCCCGGGCCUUGUACACACCGAGUAUA
rnacentral:rRNA from 1 species